rnacentral:lncRNA from 1 species
CCUCACUGGAGCUCACAGGUCCAUUGCCAGAGCUCCCUCCCUGGAGCUCACUCAUAUAACUCUCAGGUCCACGGUCAGAGCUCCCUCCCUGGAGCUCACAGGUCCACUGCCACUGCCAGAGCUCCCUCCCUGGAGCUCACUCAUAUAACUCUCAGGUCCACAGUCAGAGCUCCCUCCCUGGAGCUCACAGGUCCACUGCCAGAGCUCACUCCCUGGAGCUCACAGGUCCACUGCCAGAGCUCACUCCCUGGAGCUCACAGGUCCACUGCCAGAGCUCACUCCCUGGAACUCACAGGUCCACUGCCCGAGCUCCCUCCCUGGAGCUCAUUCAUAUAACUCUCAGGUCCACAGUCAGAGCUCCCUCCCUGGAGCUCACAGGUCCACUGCCAGAGCUCCCUCCCUGGAGCUCAUUCAUAUAACUCUCAGGUCCACAGUCAGAGCUCCCUCCCUGGAGCUCACUCAUAUAGCUCACAGGUUCAAAGCCAGAGCUCCCUCCAUGGAGCUCACUCACAUGUAGCGCACACAGGUCCACAGACAGAGCAAUUUGGAAACUCCAUGAACUUUCACCCCAAUCCAGGACCAUGUUGUGUGACAGAGCCAGUG